GUACCACAGGCGCGCACAUGUGGGCAAAGGGCUGUCCCUCGGCUUGUCCUGGUUCAUCCUGGAAACCCUCGCUGCCACCCUCUUUGGGGAAACCCUCGCCGCCAUCCUCGGUACCACUCCUGCGUCUCGUGUUGCGGCUGUUCCUUGCGGCGGCGCUCGUUCUUUGCCGUCGACGACAAGGGGAUGGAUGGAUCUAGUAUGGAGUUCCUGCUGGACGCCGUCGACAGGAGUUCGCUGACAACCUUGAGCAGUUAGAUCCGGUUCCCCUCGUUUUCCUUUCAGACAACAGAGCCGGUCUUUCGGUUCCUGCUGAUGCGAAUGAUGGGUCUGAUAUCGCUGAAAAGGUCGGAGAAGAUAGAGUGCGGGAAGGUGUGCACCGUAGUCGUGAUGCAUCUCAGACGAGGUCGGCUCAGUCGAACGACAGAGUCAAUCCAGAGGCCCCUGGCUGGACUAAAAGACGCAUGUACUAAUGGGAUUAUACCAGCGAGAGGAGGUGCAUCAAACAACUGUGUAGCCGGAAGUUCCAGUGAACCGGAAGAUGAGGAAAGGAAAGAACGUGCAGGCAGCGAACAGCAGCACUUGUUAUAGUCGACCGAGCCAUAGACAAUUCAGGACUCUUCAAAGGUUCUCAAGUGAUGUGUGUUCAUGCUUGUUUUGUUUUAUAGAUCCAGUAAAAAAAGAUUGUGUGAUGUCGUCCAGGUAUAUUCGAGCAAGCGAGGGGUCUCCUGUCAAGACUUGGAGUGGAAGGAUACAACGGAUCUGGUGCAGCACCUGAUGGUCAAUGACCGAGGAGCGUCAACCCCGCAUGCACGGGAGAUGGUGAGGAUGACAUCAAUUGGGAUGAGCUAGAGCGAAAGCCAGGAAGCUGCACAAAUGGAAGCUGAACAGCAAAACGGUUAUGUGCCGGUUGGCAUACUGGAUGCAGCUAUAGUAGUUAAAGAUGAAGACGACAACAACCGGGGAGAACUGAACUGGACGCUGAUUUCCUAAAUGUAUUUUGAUGAUGAAGAUGGUGGUGACGGGCAAGCUCCGACCAAGAGCAUGACUAGUGGUGAUGGGCAAGCUCCGACUAAGAGCAUGACUAGUGGUGACGGUGGCUCAGCAUCUUGAUUCCAGCAGGCGAUUGUGAACUAUCUGCAGAAGUGUGGGAUUAAGUACACGGUGAAUAACCAUGGUAAAACACAUGGUUCCAGGGCAGAAGCUGCAAGUGCAGAUACAGAUAAUAUACAUCAAGGAGUGAAUAGGGUGAGAAGUACCCUCCAUCGAUCGGGCUGUACCAUGUACAACUGUCUGAUCUCAUGACAUUUUCAAGUUCAAUGUGAACAUGAUGGAAUGUGGAGAAAACGUUCUCAAUAAGAAAUGGUUUAAGCACUUCCACCCUGUAUUGGCGGUGGCAUCUGGUCAGGACCUGAAGGAUGAGCUCACUCCCGGUAACGAGUUGACAUUGAAUUUGUGGAGGUGCAUCCAUCACAUGCUUAGUCAGAAGGAGAAAUAAUGUAUUGCGGAUGGCUUGAUAGGUUUAGAAGGAUUUUUUGUGCAUGUUUUGUUGUAAGUGCACAGCUUAAUUAAAAUUGUGUUCUGUGCACCCUA